GCUUUUCUUUGGUGGGGGAAGGGGGUGAUUAUUGUCACUGAAUUGUUUGUUUGGACUCAUUUGCUUGCUUGCUUUACUAAAAGUGACCUCAGGACACUCUGAGAUACAUUUGGAUUAUAUAUGAAAUUGUCCCUUCUCUAGACUAAGCCUUUGGUUUCUUUUCAAGGAGAUGUUUCCUGCCGGACAAGCAGAAUCAGAGACCACUCAAAGGGUUAUACAUAGAAGAGCUAUAUAAGGAAGAUGCUAGGCAACACUGGGACACACUGCACAAGCUGUGGUGCCAGCCUGUGUCAACAAAGGGAUUAUCCCAAAUGUCACAGUGAUCACUGCUCAGAGCUGAAGAUGCUUACUUCGCUUCGUGUGUCACUGCAUUGACCACUGCCCACUGCAAAAAGAAGCUUCUCUGACACCAGCUACGGCCACCUGCACAAAAACUACAAAGGGAGCUGGAGAGAUGGCUCAGAGGUUAGGAGCACUGGCUGCUCUUCCAGAGGUCCUGAGUUCAAGUCCCAGCAACCACAUGGUGGCUCACAACCAUCUGUAAUGUGAUCUGGUGCCCUCUUUUGACCUGCAGGCAUAACACCAGCAGGACACUGUAUGCAUAAUAAAUAAAUAAAUAAAAAGUCUUAAAAAAAAAACUACAAAAGAUCAAGCCAGACAAAAUUCUCAUGAAGAUGGAGAAGAUUAUCCAUAUGCCAUGCCCCUAACUAAGGAGCUAUUGGAAGUUUAUAACAUAUAGGGGAGAGAGAAUCUUUUUCCCUUGAGUGUGUGGUCAUGGGUAGUUUUCCAGUGUUCUAGUGGCUGGCCCCAUACCUAUAUACAUAUGAUCAGGACUAAUUAGACUUAGUGAAUUAUUAAAGAAGAAAAAGAAGAGGAGGAGGAGAAGGUUGUAAAGGAAGAAAGGAAAUGAACUUAAGUGGGCAAGUGUAGUGGGUAGCCAUUCCAGCUUUGAUCUGGAAGUUCCAACCCCCAUUGAGGCUUCGACAACUGUCACGCCUACAAGGCGGGGCCAAGGGUGGACCCUGGAGACCCGAGAGCUGGAUGGGCGAGCGCUCUCUCUGUUCCUGGACCCUGGACGGUGGAGGUUGACCGAGCAGAGCUCCAGAGAACACUGCUGGACUGCGAUACACCUUCCCCAGACCCCGCAACCUACCUAUCCCUUCAUUUGUAAGUUACCCACUAAAUAAAUCUUCCUUUUAACUA